rnacentral:tRNA from 1 species
GCGGGGGUUGCCAAGUCAGGUCAAAGGCGCAGGCCUGAAGCGCCUGUCCCGUAGGGGUUCGUGGGUUCAAAUCCCACCCCCCGCA